rnacentral:tRNA from 1 species
AUAGUUAUUAAUUUAAAUAAAAAUAUUAAUUUUGUAAAUUAAAUAUAAGUUAUUCUUAUAACUA